rnacentral:rRNA from 1 species
GAUGAACGCUGGCGGCGUGCCUAAUACAUGCAAGUCGAGCGAACAGACGAGGAGCUUGCUCCUCUGACGUUAGCGGCGGACGGGUGAGUAACACGUGGAUAACCUACCUAUAAGACUGGGAUAACUUCGGGAAACCGGAGCUAAUACCGGAUAAUAUAUUGAACCGCAUGGUUCAAUAGUGAAAGACGGUUUUGCUGUCACUUAUAGCUGGAUCCGCGCCGCAUUAGCUAGUUGGUAAGGUAACGGCUUACCAAGGCAACGAUGCGUAGCCGACCUGAGAGGGUGAUAGGCCACACGGGAACGGAGACACGGUCCAGACUCCUACGGGAGGCAGCAGUAGGGAAUCUUACGCAAUGGGCGAAAGCCUGACGGAGCAACGCCGCGUGAGUGAUGAAGGUCUUCGGAUCGUAAAACUCUGUUAUUAGGGAAGAACAAAUGUGUAAGUAACUAUGCACGUCUUGACGGUACCUAAUCAGAAAGCCACGGCUAACUACGUG